GGCCCGGUGGUGUAGCUGGUUUAACACACUGCCCUGUCAAGGCAGAGAUCGGCGGUUCGAAUCCGCUCCGGGUCGCCA
rnacentral:tRNA from 2 species